rnacentral:rRNA from 1 species
GCUAACGCAUUAAGCGCCCCGCCUGGGGAGUACGGCCGCAAGGCUAAAACUUCAAAGGAAUUGACGGGGGCCCGCACAAGCGGCGGAGCAUGUGGAUUAAUUCGAUGCAACGCGAAGAACCUUACCUGGGUUUGACAUGCACAGGAUCGCGGCAAGAGAUGUCGUUUCCCUUGUGGCCUGUGUGCAGGUGGGUGCAUGGCUGUCGUCAGCUCGUGUCGUGAGAUGUUGGGUUAAGUCCCGCAACGAGCGCAACCCUUGUUCCAUGUUGCCAGCGGGUUAUGCCGGGGACUCAUGGGAGACUGCCGGGGUCAACUCGGAGGAAGGUGGGGAUGACGUCAAGUCAUCAUGCCCCUUAUGUCCAGGGCUUCACACAUGCUACAAUGGCUCAUACAGAGGGCUGCGAGACCGUGAGGUGGAGCGAAUCCCUUAAAGUGAGUCUCAGUUCGGAUCGGGGUAUGCAACUCGACCCCGUGAAGUUGGAGUCGCUAGUAAUCGCAGAUCAGCAACGCUGCAGGUGGAUACGUUCCCGGGCUUGCACUCAC